rnacentral:rRNA from 1 species
UACGAAGGGGGCGAGCGUUGUUCGGAAUCACUGGGCGUAAAGGGCGCGUAGGCGGCCCCUUCUUGUCGCGUGUGAAAGCCCCGGGCUCAACCUGGGAGCGGCGCGCGAGACGGGGGGGCUGGAGUUCGGGAGAGGAGCGUGGAAUUCCCAGUGUAGAGGUGAAAUUCGUAGAUAUUGGGGAAGAACACCGGUGGCGAAGGCGGCGCUCUGGGACCGGGACUGACGCUGAGGCGCGAAGCGUGGGGAGCAAACAGG